AGAGUUUGAUCCUGGCUCAGAGCGAACGCUGGCGGCAGGCCUAACACAUGCAAGUCGAAUGAACUAUUUGGAGUUAGUGGCGGACGGGUGAGUAACACGUGGGAACGUGCCUUUAGGUUCGGAAUAACUCAGGGAAACUUGUGCUAAUACCGAAUGUGCCCUUCGGGGGAAAGAUUUAUCGCCUUUAGAGCGGCCCGCGUGUGAUUAGCUUGUUGGUGGGGUAAUGGCCCACCAAGGGUACGAUCAGUAGCUGGUAUGAGAGGAUGACCAGCCACUUUGGGAGUGAGACACGGCCCAAACUCCUACGCGAGGCAGCAGUGGGGAAUCUUGCGCAAUGGGCGAAAGCCUGACGCCGCCAUGCCGCGUGUAUGAU
rnacentral:rRNA from 1 species